GACGGCCCACCCAGGACGGCAGCGCGUGGGCUGCAAGGCUGCUUAGGCAGACAUCUUUUUCUCAAACCGGGCCUGACGCGCACCGAGGGCUCGGGUGUCCCCUGCCGUGGGUGGGUCCCCACAGAGACUGCUCUGAUAGAGGCGCGUGUCCUCCGUGCGCUCCGAGGGAGGUCUCCUGGAGGUUCGGAGCCCACAUCGGCAGGGAGCUGAUUCCAGAGCAGGGAUAUAUAGGAAGGAAUGAAAAAUACUCAAAAUGACUUCCAAGCUUUUUCAAAAGUUGGAGUCCAGAGGCGGUGCCUGGGUGGCUCAGUCAUUUGAGCAUCUGACUCCUGAUUUCAGCUCAGGUCCUGACCUCACUGUUUCAUG